rnacentral:lncRNA from 1 species
GACCUUUUAAUCGAAAUAGGCGAGCUGAACUCGUUGAAGGGAAAGGAAGCAGUGCCGCCCCCGCCGCCUAAAAAAUUCAAAUCUAACCGAGGGGCGAUCAAUGCUAGAGGGCGUGCUGCUGAGGCGGGGACCUCUUCCCCUGGUGGCAACAUAGGAUCCGAGUCUAUGUCGGAUGCUUCAGUGGCUCGGAGGCUGCUCACGAGGGUGAUUCCGGCUUCCGACAAGAAAGAGGUUGACCAAUUAUCCGAGAAUGAAUUGGUCGCCAAAUCUUUCCAUGCCUUGGGCCAGGUAACUUGUGAAAAUCUUGG